rnacentral:rRNA from 1 species
GACGAACGCUGGCGGCGUGCUUAACACAUGCAAGUCGAACGGAAAGGCCCUGCUUUUGUGGGGUGCUCGAGUGGCGAACGGGUGAAUAACACGUGAGUAACCUGCCCUUGACUUUGGGAUAACUUCAGGAAACUGGGGCUAAUACCGGAUAGGAGCUCCUGCUGCAUGGUGGGGGUUGGAAAGUUUCGGCGGUUGGGGAUGGACUCGCGGCUUAUCAGCUUGUUGGUGGGGUAGUGGCUUACCAAGGCUUUGACGGGUAGCCGGCCUGGGCGGGUGACCGGCCACAUUGGGACUGAGAUACGGCCCAGACUCCUACGGGAGGCAGCAGUGGGGAAUAUUGCACAAUGGGCGGAAGCCUGAUGCAGCAACGCCGCGUGCGGGAUGACGGCCUUCGGGUUGUAAACCGCUUUCGCCUGUGACGAAGCGUGAGUGACGGUAAUGGGUAAAGAAGCACCGGCUAACUACGUG